AGGAGACCGAUAGAUUACAAGUAGUGGAACGAAAGAUGAAAAGAACUCUAAAACAGAGGGUGAAAAGUUCCUGAACUUGCUUUAGGGUUAAGGGCUAUUUAUAGUACCCGUCUUGAAAACACGGAUUAGGGAGUUUAUCUGUAGUGCGAGUCUUUGCACGUUAACUGUAAAGGCGUAGAGAAAGCAACUGGCGUUUGCAUGGCUACUGAGCAUUACUGAUAGGACCCGAAAGGUGGUGAACUUUGCCUGCACAGGUUGAAGUCAGGGGAAACUCUGAUGGAGGACCGUACGGGUUAUUGAUGUGCAAAUCAUUUUUCUGAUGUAGGUAAAGGUGCGAAAGACUCAUCGAACCACCUAAUAGCUGGUUUCCUCCGAAGUUUCCCUCAGGAUAGCUGUAAUGCAUUUAGUUAAGGGGAGUAGAGAUAUGGGUAGAGGUGCAGGGAGCCUUCGGGUUCUCAACUUAUUUCCAAACUUCGAACCUCCUUGUUAGGCAUUUACCUAACUGGAAAUGCUUAAAUGAAUUAGCGUUACAAGUGGGCUCUGACCGGUAAGCGGUCAUGGCGAAAUGGGAUGAACCAUACGUCUGAAUAAGGUGCCGAAAUGUACUAUCACUGAUACCAUAAAGGGAGUCCAUGUAUUUAGACAGCAGGUCGGUGCCCCUAAAAGCAGGUAUCCGCUAAAGAGUGUGUUAAAACUCACCUGCCGAAUACUAGGGCCCCGAAAAUGAAUGGCGCAUAUAGUACUACCGAUCUCAGACAUCAGUUCUAUUGAACUGAGAGUAGGGGGAUGUGGACAUUUUUGUGAAGGUGCAAUGUGAGUUGGACUGGAAGAAUGUCUAUUACAGAUCCUAAUUGAAGUAGCGAUUAUCCAGGCUUGUAUCCUG
rnacentral:ncRNA from 1 species